AGAGUUCGAUUCUGGCUCAGGACGAACGCUGGCGGCGUGCUUAACACAUGCAAGUCGAACGGAAAGGCCCUGCUUUUGUGGGGUGCUCGAGUGGCGAACGGGUGAGUAACACGUGAGUAACCUGCCCUUGACUUUGGGAUAACUUCAGGAAACUGGGGCUAAUACCGGAUAGGAGCUCCUGCUGCAUGGUGGGGGUUGGAAAGUUUCGGCGGUUGGGGAUGGACUCGCGGCUUAUCAGCUUGUUGGUGGGGUAGUGGCUUACCAAGGCUUUGACGGGUAGCCGGCCUGAGAGGGUGACCGGCCACAUUGGGAUUGAGAUACGGCCCAGACUCCUACGGGAGGCAGCAGUGGGGAAUAUUGCACAAUGGGCGGAAGCCUGAUGCAGCAACGCCGCGUGCGGGAUGACGGCCUUCGGGUUGUAAACCGCUUUCGCCUGUGACGAAGCGUGAGUGACGGUAAUGGGUAAAGAAGCACCGGCUAACUACGUGCCAGCAGCCGCGGUGAUACGUAGGGUGCGAGCGUUGUCCGGAUUUAUUGGGCGUAAAGGGCUCGUAGGUGGUUGAUCGCGUCGGAAGUGUAAUCUUGGGGCUUAACCCUGAGCGUGCUUUCGAUACGGGUUGACUUGAGGAAGGUAGGGGAGAAUGGAAUUCCUGGUGGAGCGGUGGAAUGCGCAGAUAUCAGGAGGAACACCAGUGGCGAAGGCGGUUCUCUGGGCCUUUCCUGACGCUGAGGAGCGAAAGCGUGGGGAGCGAACAGGCUUAGAUACCCUGGUAGUCCACGCUGUAAACGGUGGGUACUAGGUGUGGGGUCCAUUCCACGGGUUCCGUGCCGUAGCUAACGCUUUAAGUACCCCGCCUGGGGAGUACGGCCGCAAGGCUAAAACUCAAAGGAAUUGACGGGGCCCCGCACAAGCGGCGGAGCAUGCGGAUUAAUUCGAUGCAACGCGUAGAACCUUACCUGGGUUUGACAUGGAUCGGGAGUGCUCAGAGAUGGGUGUGCCUCUUUUGGGGUCGGUUCACAGGUGGUGCAUGGCUGUCGUCAGCUCGUGUCGUGAGAUGUUGGGUUAAGUCCCGCAACGAGCGCAACCCUUGUUCACUGUUGCCAGCACGUUAUGGUGGGGACUCAGUGGAGACCGCCGGGGUCAACUCGGAGGAAGGUGGGGAUGACGUCAAGUCAUCAUGCCCCUUAUGUCCAGGGCUUCACGCAUGCUACAAUGGCUGGUACAGAGAGUGGCGAGCCUGUGAGGGUGAGCGAAUCUCGGAAAGCCGGUCUCAGUUCGGAUUGGGGUCUGCAACUCGACCUCAUGAAGUCGGAGUCGCUAGUAAUCGCAGAUCAGCAACGCUGCGGUGAAUACGUACCCGGGGCUUGUACACACCGCCCGUC
rnacentral:rRNA from 1 species